rnacentral:miRNA from 12 species
GACCCCAUCCCCCUGCAGCGGAACAGGGGGAUGGAAGGACAGGUGCAAUGAAGGCCUGUAGCCCUGGUGGGCUUUUUGAGAGGUGGUUCCUGAGGA